CCAGAGCCGACUAAGCACCUUGGUGCGGCUGCAGACGGGUAUCCGGCUCGACGUUCAUACAUCACGACUUCUUUCCUUUUACCUUGUUUGUUGCUGCUCCUAUUGGUUUUG
rnacentral:pre_miRNA from 15 species